rnacentral:rRNA from 1 species
UACGAAGGGGGCUAGCGUUGUUCGGAAUUACUGGGCGUAAAGCGCGUGUAGGCGGCUUCGCAAGUCGGAUGUGAAAUCCCACGGCUCAACCGUGGAAGUGCAUUCGAAACUGCAAGGCUAGAGUCCUGGAGAGGAAGGUGGAAUGCUUGGUGUAGAGGCGAAAUUCGUAGAUAUCAAGCGGAACACCGGUGGCGAAGGCGGCCUUCUGGACAGUGACUGACGCUGAGACGCGAAAGCGUGGGGAGCAAACAGG